rnacentral:rRNA from 1 species
AUUGAACGCUGGCGGCAGGCCUAACACAUGCAAGUCGAGCGGCAGCGGGAAAGUAGCUUGCUACUUUUGCCGGCGAGCGGCGGACGGGUGAGUAAUGCCUGGGAAAUUGCCCAGUCGAGGGGGAUAACAGUUGGAAACGACUGCUAAUACCGCAUACGCCCUACGGGGGAAAGCAGGGGACCUUCGGGCCUUGCGCGAUUGGAUAUGCCCAGGUGGGAUUAGCUAGUUGGUGAGGUAAUGGCUCACCAAGGCGAUGAUCCCUAGCUGGUCUGGGAGGAUGAUCAGCCACACUGGAACUGAGACACGGUCCAGACUCCUACGGGAGGCAGCAGUGGGGAAUAUUGCACAAUGGGGGAAACCCUGAUGCAGCCAUGCCGCGUGUGUGAAGAAGGCCUUCGGGUUGUAAAGCACUUUCAGCGAGGAGGAAGGGUUGAUGCCUAAUACGUAUCAACUGUGACGUUACUCGCAGAAGAAGCACCGGCUAACUCCGUGCCAGCAGCCGCAGUAACAC